rnacentral:rRNA from 1 species
AGAGUUUGAUCCUGGCUCAGGAUGAACGCUAGCGGCAGGCUUAAUACAUGCAAGUCGAGGGGUAGCAUGAUUGUAGCAAUACAAUUGAUGACGACCGGCAAACGGGUGCGGAACACGUACACAACCUUCCUACAAGUGGGGAAUAGCCCAGAGAAAUUUGGAUUAAUACCCCGUAACAUAGCGAUGUGGCAUCACAUUGCUAUUAUAGCUUCGGCGCUUGUUGAUGGGUGUGCGGCUGAUUAGAUAGUUGGCGGGGUAACGGCCCACCAAGUCUACGAUCAGUAGCUGAUGUGAGAGCAUGAUCAGCCACACGGGCACUGAGACACGGGCCCGACUCCUACGGGAGGCAGCAGUAAGGAAUAUUGGACAAUGGACGCAAGUCUGAUCCAGCCAUGCCGCGUGAAGGAUUAAGGUCCUCUGGAUUGUAAACUUCUUUUAUAAGGGACGAAAAAAGGUCUUUCUAGAUCGUCUGACGGUACCUUAUGAAUAAGCACCGGCUAACUCCGUGCCAGCAGCCGCGGUAAUACGGAGGGUGCAAGCGUUAUCCGGAUUCACUGGGUUUAAAGGGUGCGUAGGCGGGCAGGUAAGUCAGUGGUGAAAUCCUAGAG